rnacentral:rRNA from 1 species
CUUAACACAUGCAAGUCGAACGGGGAUCAGCUUUGUAGCAAUACAUUGUUGGUCCUAGUGGCGCACGGGUGAGUAACACGUGGGUAACCUGCCCUUGAGUUCGGGAUACCCCCUCGAAAGGGGGGCUAAUACCGGAUACGUUCCUUGGAUCGACAGGUCUGAGGAGGAAAGGUGGCGCAAGCUGCCGCUCUUGGAGGGGCUCGCGGCCUAUCAGCUAGUUGGCGGGGUAACGGCCCACCAAGGCUAUGACGGGUAGCUGGUCUGAGAGGACGACCAGUCACACGGGGACUGAGACACGGCCCCGACUCCUACGGGAGGCAGCAGUGGGGAAUUUUCCGCAAUGGGCGAAAGCCUGACGGAGUGACGCCGCGUGUGGGACGAAGGCCUUCGGGUCGUAAACCACUGUCAGUGGGAAAGAAGGGUGUCGGUGUUAAUACCACCGGCAUUUGACGGUACCUGCAGAGGAAGCCCCGGCCAACUCUGUGCCAGCAGCCGCGGUAAGACAGAGGGGGCAAGCGUUGCUCGGAAUUACUGGGCGUAAAGGGCGCGUAGGCGGGAUGGCAAGUCGGUCGUGAAAUCCUUCGGCUCAACCGAAGAACGUCGAUCGAUACUGCUGUUCUUGAGGGUUGCAGAGGAGACUGGAAUUCCCGGUGUAGCGGUGAAAUGUGUAGAGAUCGGGAGGAACACCGGUGGCGAAGGCGGGUCUCUGGGCAAUUCCUGACGCUGAGGCGCGAAAGCGUGGGGAGCA